rnacentral:rRNA from 1 species
UCCUCCCUCUGGCGGCGUGCCUAAUACAUGCAAGUCGAGCGAGCGAAACUAACAGAUUUACUUCGGUAAUGACGUUAGGAAAGCGAGCGGCGGAUGGGUUAGUAACACGUGGGGAACCUGCCCCAUAGUCUGGGAUACCACUUGGAAACAGGUGCUAAUACCGGAUAAGAAAGCAGAUCGCAUGAUCAGCUUUUACAAGGCGGCGUAAGCUGUCGCUAUGGGAUGGCCCCGCGGUGCAUUAGCUAGUUUGUAAGGUAAAGGCUUACCAAGGCGAUGAUGCAUAGCCGAGUUGAGAGACUGAUCGGCCACAUUGGGACUGAGACACGGCCCAAACUCCUACGGGAGGCAGCAGUAGGGAAUCUUCCACAAUGGACGCAAGUCUGAUGGAGCAACGCCGCGUGAGUGAAGAAGGUUUUCGGAUCGUAAAGCUCUGUUGUUGGUGAAGAAGGAUAGAGGUAGUAACUGGCCUUUAUUUGACGGUAAUCAACCAGAAAGUCACGGCUAACUACGUG